CUAAGUAACAAAAACCUUCCUCUCACGACAUAUUCCCCUUCCUUCAUGUAUAAAUUUUUCGCCUAAACCAAUUCCUCUCUGGUGUCUAAGCUUGUAAGAUAUUAAGUUUGGUUUAAUAAAAGUUUUCAAGUCUUUGCUCAGUCCUCAAGGGGUUCCCGAAAGGGAAACCUCUCUCCCAGUUACUUCAUCUCUUGACAAGAAAAAUUGGAAGGAUUGUAAAGCAUAUGAAAAAUAUUCCUUCAAGAGGAGAUGUUUCAUGGUCCUUAAUUGCUAGAAACUACUAGUUUUAUCAAGAAUUCUCAGGAACUUGAAUUGGGGAUUUCUUUCAAAAAGGCUCCAACCCUCAGGAUAGCAAACGUCCACGUUAGGCUCUAUUGCCGUUUUCAGCUGAUAUUUUGUUGCAAAGAAGCAAAGGUCAUCUGAGAAGCUUUAAUCAAGAAGUUUACAGCUGAAGAUGUAAUCAAACAAAAGUUUGUGGUUGAAACAAUUUACAAUUGGCAAAUGAGUGAUGUGAAAUAAAUAAAAAUUCAAAUAAAUGAAUAUCAAAAUCUAUUAGAAGAUUUCAAGGCCGAGGACAUCACUUUACCAGAAAAAUUUAUUGUUGGGGUGUUGAUUGAAAAAUUACCCGAAUCAUGGAAUGACGAUAAAAAUAACUUGAAACAUAAGCAGAAAAAUUUUACUAUUGAGAAAAUAAUAACUCAUAUUCUAAUUGAAGAUACCAACAGAAAGGAGUCAUUCAAAGCUAAGCAGGUUGCGCUCAACGCAAAUUUAGUACAAGAUCAACACAGCAACAACAGAAGAUAUGGUAAUAGUCUCAAGGUUACAAGCCUAAUAAUCCCAGUUUUAAGAAAAUAAAAGUCACUUGUUUACUUGUGGAAAAUCAGGUCAUUAUGCCGCUCAAUGUAGGUACAGAAUGAGAAAUAACAAAGAAAUGAGAAAUCCUCCCAAAGCUAAUUUAGCUUAAGGAGAUGAAAUAAUUGCAGCUGUUAUUUCUGAAGUAAAUAUGGUGGCACAUAUAAAAGAAUGGGCGGUAGACUCUAGAGCUACUCGACACAUUUGUACAAAUUGAGAAGCAUUUGCCUCCUAUACAUUAAUAGGAGAUGACAGUGAAGUAGCCUACCUUGGAGACUCAAGAAAUGCUAAAGUCUUGGGCAAGGGUAAAGUACUCCUAAAACUCACUUCGGGAAAAACUUUAGCCCUAAUGGAUGUGCUACAUGUUCCUACAAUGCGAGCAAACCUGAUUUCUGUGGCUUUGUUGGAUAAAGCUGGAAUGAAAGUGUCUGUUAAAUCUAAUAAGCUUAUUUUGACAAAAAAUAAUAUAUUUGUGGGAAAAGGCUAUUGUAACCACGGAUUUUAUGUACUUAAUAUUAUCAAUAAUAAUGCAUCAAUUUCUGCUUA